GAUGAAGAACGCAGCGAAAUGCGAUACGUAAUGUGAAUUGCAAAUUCAGUGAAUCAUCGAGUCUUUGAACGCACAUUGCGCCCCCUGGUAUUCCGGGGGGCAUGCCUGUCCGAGCGUCAUUGCUGCCCUCAAGCACGGCUUGUGUGUUGGGCCCCGUCCUCCGAUCCCGGGGGACGGGCCCGAAAGGCAGCGGCGGCACCGCGUCCGGUCCUCGAGCGUAUGGGGCUUUGUCACCCGCUCUGUAGGCCCGGCCGGCGCUUGCCGAUCAACCCAAAUUUUUAUCCAGGUUGACCUCGGAUCAGGUAGGGAUACCCGCUGAACUUAAGCAUAUCAAAAGCGGAGGA
rnacentral:misc_RNA from 1 species